rnacentral:rRNA from 1 species
ACGAACGCUGGCGGCGUGCCUAAUACAUGCAAGUCGCGCGAAGUUUUUCUGGUGCUUGCACUAGAAAAACUUAGCGGCGAACGGGUGAGUAACACGUAAAGAACCUGCCUCAUAGACUGGGACAACUAUUGGAAACGAUAGCUAAUACCGGAUAACAGUAUUUCUCGCAUGAGAGAUAUUUAAAAGUUGGUUAUGCUAACACUAUGAGAUGGCUUUGCGGUGCAUUAGCUAGUUGGUGGGGUAAAGGCCCACCAAGGCGACGAUGCAUAGCCGACCUGAGAGGGUGAUCGGCCACACUGGGACUGAGACACGGCCCAGACUCCUACGGGAGGCAGCAGUAGGGAAUCUUCCGCAAUGGGCGAAAGCCUGACGGAGCAACGCCGCGUGAGUGAAGAAGGAUUUCGGUUCGUAAAGCUCUGUUGUUAGGGAAGAAUGGAUAUGUAGUAACUAUACAUGUAAGAGACGGUACCUAACCAGAAAGCCACGGCUAACUACGUG